GGACACUUUUAAUAAUUUUGGCAGUAAUAACUAAACCUAAUUGCGAAUCGCAGAGGAGAGUCGUGAGCAACGAGCUUCUCCUCCAGUGGCUUCUUCUCCUCUAUUGAUGCGAGCUUCUCCUCUAUUCUUGUGAGUUUCUCUGCCAUUGAUGCGAGCUUUUCCUCUAUCGAACUUCUGCGCUCUAUGUUGUGUGAGCUUCUUACCCUAGCUCGUCUUCUCCGUGUCCGUUCUCACUUUUAGAAUUCAAAAAUGACAUCGCCGCUGCUCUGCGAGCUUCUCCUCCAUCAAUGAUUCUUCCCCUCCAUCGGUGUCAUGUCCGUCAAUGCUUCUCCUCUGAUGGUACAUUUGCUUCCAUUGAUGCGAUUUGCUAGGUUUUGAUUUUCUUCCUUGUUCAAUUUAUUUUUAGGAUUGCACGUUAAUAUUUAGAUAGAGUAUUGAAACAAAAAGACAAGUUGAAGAAACACAGUGCACCGGGAGAUUCCAGAAAGGAAGCCCAAGCAGCGCUGCUCAUAUUGUUGCAAUCAUUCAGUACUUUAUCAUCGGUGGAGGUAGCAAAGCAAGAACUGCUGGAAAUUCAAGAAGGAAAAAGUAACCUCAAGGCUAAGGAGCCACUUCUUCAAUGCAUUCAUGCUUACAGGGAGGGAGCAAGAUGACUACGAGGUUGUGAGGAAGGUGGGAAGAGGGAAAUACAAUGAGGUCUUUGAUCUGAGGGCGUUCACUCCACCGAUAAUGAAAAAUGCAUCUGAUAAUGAAUCGACAAAAUACAGACAACCUAGUAGAGAAUCUAUUGGAUUUUGAGUAUGAACUUAAGAAGCCAUACCUAUUAUAUCGGAAUGCGGCUCAAGAAGUUAAUGGUAUAUGGUUUUACAAUGAAGAUGAAUGUGAAGAAGUUGCAAAUCUCUUUAAUAGGAUACUUUCUGAAUACUCAAAGAUACCUCCAAAUGCAUUCUUUCACCUCUGUCACCGGGCUGGCAAGCAAAGCUAAUAUUCAACUCUCAUCAGAUAGGUUUGCCUUUAAUAAUAUGUCAUAAUCAUGAAAAAGAAAAGAAGGAAAAAUGUGUCAUCCAUUAUGAAAUUACAUGCACUAAUUCUGAACCCACUCAAAAUCUCUAUCUAUCUAUACUCAUUCUGCAUUAUCAUAAGCUCAUCAUCAUCUAUCUCUUUCUUAUUUUGGUUGAAGAUUCCUAAAUUUGGAUAUGAAAUUAUUAUAAUUGGAUAUGGUUUAGUAUGGGUAUAGAAAAAGAAGCUGAGGCUAAAAUACAAGGGGCAGUGAAGCUUUUAAAGUUCACUGGUUGUUCCAAAUUUCCAUUUUCAUUGUAGUCGCAGAAACAGAAAACCAAACAAUCAUCAAUCUUCAACCCUUUUGCAGAAAUUACUUAUCCUGUAUCUGAUUUCUGCUGCUAUUCUCAUUCACUCAGAGAGGAAGAGGGUUAGGACUGUGGAGUGUGUCACUGCUCAUUCUAGCUCUCCUGAACGAUGCAAUACCUCUAAACUAGAGCACAAUUUGAAGUCAAUUUCAAGUUAAUAGAGUCACCUUAAGUUGAGUGUUGGAGCAAGAAACAAAGAUGUUGGAGCAAGUUCCCGGGAUGAAACUCACACAAGAGAUCAAGAAACUAAGACAGGCUUGUUUUAAAGUUAAUUACAAAAGGAGGAAAUUUUUGGCCUCCAAAUCUUAUUCAUCAUCACUUAGCUAAGCUACUUGUCUUGUAUUAGAUGAAAAAGACAGCACUUAUUAGAUGGUUUAAAUACAUUAUUAGAUAUUAACAUAUUUUAAGGAACUGAAAGUGGUAGAUUUGACUGAUUAGUGUUUAUUGCAAUGUUUGUAUUUUGGUAAGUUUAGUAAGACAAGGUUUUGUAUAGGAGUUAUUACUUUUGAUUUUCAAUAAUAAAAAUUACAUAUUAGAUUAA